UAUUUUGAUGCUACCCCAGUACUACCUCCUUCUACAAGCUGCAAAUCAUGUUUAAAAUCAGGGUGCUGGGAAACAGCACUUGUUUUGAACUGCUGAAAUGCAUCUUUUACAUCUGUAUCAGAUAUCUGCUCCUUUGCUAUUUCAUACAUGGACAUAUGUAUUAGAUGGUAAACAGUUGGGACUUCAAAAGCACAAAUCCAAGUAAAGCUCAACUCGUGACAUGAAGAUAGUAAACAAUAUCUUUUCCCUGUGCAAACACACCCUUAAAAGAAUCCCACAAGCAUCAUACCACCUAAGGUGAAAGCUAUUUUUAACAAAAUAUGGUUAUAAUUUAUAUAUAACAACAUGAAAGUGAUGACACCAUGCCAUGAUUAUCAUCCUCAGGGAAUGCAACAUGUAUUCCCAACCCAAACUUCAGUAGCACAACAUAGAACACAAUGUUAUAGUUGUAAAAAAAAAAAAAAGGUUCUUUAUAGGAUAAUGCCAAGUAUUUAUAUUUUAUAAUCCCCAACUUUCUAAUUCAAAAAUAAUCUAAAAAAUAAUUAAACCUAACAAAUCAAAGAAUUUACACAUGCAAAUCCAGAGAAAAAAAAAAUGACUUAAAUUAGCAUUUAUGAACUGAAUCUAAUCUUUGAUCAAGCCUAAAUUUUACUAAAUCUGAGUGAUUUCCUUUAAUUUCAUUGAUGAGAAACAUUAAUUUCCAUAUAUAAAUCCAAGAAAAUCAAAAAAUCAACACAAUUUCUAUAUAAUAUCCACAAAUCCAAAAAUCAACGGAAUCAAACAAAAAGAACCGAAACGGGUUCGGAUACGGUUACGGAGAUAAAUCCAAGAACGUAUAUUGUACGUAUACAAAACAAAUCGGGAGCUUCGGACCUAAUUUCUAUAUAAUAUCCACAAAUCCAAACCAAAAUAUAGAAUCAAUCGACGGAAUGGAAUCAAACAAAAAGAACCGAAACGGGUUUGGAUAUGGUUACGGUUACGCAGAUAAACCCAAGAACGUACAUUCUACGUACAAAUCCAAAACGUAAAGGUGAGGAGGACUCGCAGCUUCACGAACUCCUAGAGAACAAUGCACUCCAAUUCCAUAAAUGAAUUGAAAACCUGAGGGUUGAGUGUGCCGGAAGCCAACCCCAUCACGAACGGUGUGUCAACGAGGCUAGUCGUCAUGUCGCGUCUGAAAGACUGGAGCUCCUCGGAGAUCGUCACCUUCUUCAUCUUCUUGAGAUUUGGAUUUCGGGGAAAAGCUAGGGUUCUGGGAAUGAGGACAACUCGGAAAUUGGGGGCGAGGCGAGAGCGUUUUUUUUUUUUGGUUACGGGUAAUUUCAAUUUGUUUUAUUUUUGGUUUGAUUAUGUAGUAGGGAGGGGAGGAGGGAUCAUUUGAUGUCAAGGCAGUGUCGAAUUCUGUUAAUGUGGUGAGUGAUUUCGGUUAGGCCUGUAUUUUUUUUUUUUUUUUUCCGAGUGCUGCUGCUAAUGCCGGUUUUUGGAAUUGGGUAUUUGGGCACGUGUUGUUGUUGGAAUUCUGGGUUGGAUAGUUGUGGUUCGCAGUGUGAGAAGUGGGAGUUGUGCAAGGAUUCAUGUCUGUUUGUAUUGCUGGGGAAUAUGAGGUAUGAGUUGAGAAGUAUAGAGGGAUUGUUGAGCAGAACAGUAUGAUGGUGUUUUGGCGAUAAUGAAUAGGUAAGCUAACCGGGAUUGUUCAUACCGCAAUGUUGCGAUGUGCGGGUCAGAUUUGCAGAUCUGGAGCGUUCCUUGUCUAGCGCGGAACUUGAAAGGCCUGACUUGUUGCACACAGCUACUGUCAAUGUCACUAUGUGGGAUUGGUUCUGUUUGAGUUGGGGGGACUCUU
rnacentral:lncRNA from 1 species